UGCAUGGCUGUCGUCAGCUCGUGCGUGAGAUGUUGGGUUAAGUCCCGUAACGAGCGCAACCCUUGUCCUUAGUUACCAGCACGUUAUGGUGGGCACUCUAAGGAGACUGCCGGUGACAAACCGGAGGAAGGUGGGGAUGACGUCAAGUCAUCAUGGCCCUUACGGCCUGGGCUACACACGUGCUACAAUGGUCGGUACAAAGGGUUGCCAAGCCGCGAGGUGGAGCUAAUCCCAUAAAACCGAUCGUAGUCCGGAUCGCAGUCUGCAACUCGACUGCGUGAAGUCGGAAUCGCUAGUAAUCGUGAAAUCAGAAUGUCACGGUGAAUACCGUUCCCGGGCCUU
rnacentral:rRNA from 1 species